rnacentral:lncRNA from 1 species
GAGAGCGGCCGUUGCUGUCUGUCUCGCGCGCUUGAUUUGAAUGUGAGGCGACGGUUGGCCGUCGAGGGGGCGGCUGAGGCGGCGCGUCGCUCGCGGCCCUUGGUCGGCGGCUGAGGGCCUUGCUCCGGCCCCUUCCUCCGAGAUGGUCGGAGAGGUUGUGGUCAACGACUCCCGCCCGUCGGGUUCUUCCCGGCUUUCUUGGCUCGAAGGCGAGGGCCUUCGCCACCGCCGCUUUCCUGAGGUGACACAGCCGUCGUGGUAGCCGCUUCGUACACCGCAGCGCCUCCAAGCGGUGCCCCAGCUUCCUCUCGUUUCCCUCGGCGCUGGGCAAGGGAAAGGUUGGCCGUUUCCAACGCCUCCUGGAAACGGUGAGGUUUGGGCGUCAAAUGUACGCAUCAAGUUACGGACGCGUUGCGUUCCGUUUACCAUUUUUUUUAAAAAAAUUAAGGGUCAGUGUAUGUUCCAGCAGAUUCUAAAGCUGCCCCAAUAAGCAGGGAUGUAAACCUAAACAAACAAUCCCUUCCGUAGAAAAAGCUCAUAAUAGCAGAGCCAGUGCAGAUGCGAGGCAAGGAAUUCUGAUCGGAUCUCCCCUCCUUGUUCAUAAAGUAGCCACAGAGGGAUGUCGGGAUGUUUUCAUUUUGGUUAUAUAUACAGUGGUACCUCUGGUUGCGAACGGGAUCUGUUCCAGAGCCCCAUUCACAACCUGAAAGGAACGCAACCCGUGUCUGCGCAGACGCGGGUUGUGAUUUGCCACUUCUGCACAUGCGUGUGACAUCAUUUUGCGCAUAUGCGCAAGUGGCGAAACCCGGAAGUAACCCUUUCCGUUACUUCCAGGUCACUGCAGCACGUAACCUGAAAAAACGUAUCAUGAAGCAAACGUAACGAGGUAUGACUGUAUUGCGGUUUUUAAGGCUGAUCUCUUCUGUGAACCGCCCUGAGACCUCUGGGUAUAGGGCAGUAUAUAAAUUCAAUAAAUAAUAAAAAUAAAAUCUGUUGAGCUUUCCUGAUCAAAAUCAGUAUACUGGGGUGGGUGGUGGUUUCCCUCAGAUAAUAAACUCUGACCCAGAAGCUAGUGCCAUCCACUCCUGAGGAGAACAUCAGUGGCCCAGGAGCUCUGCUGUUCUAUUUUAUUUGCAAAUUUUAAUACUAUGAUAAUGGAGGAGAGAAAACCCAGGAAAGGUUCGGUCAAUAGAAUCUUCCCCACAAUCAAAGGGCCUGUGUAGACCUCUGAGAGCCUUUAGUUGGAUAGGUAACGAGAGACUGAGGCCAAGGUAAGUUGAAGCAAAGCAGUCUGUAGGCUGGUAUUUAUUGUCGCUGUUACAACAGGUGAGUCAUACAAGGUUUGGGGAUUACAUGAGGUCUUAUAUUUGGUUUGUUUCCCGUUCCCCUAGGUGUCAUGAGAGGAUGAAACGGGAAACUGAUAGUUGGAGACAGUGCCUGACAGGAUGCUUUUCAAAUACAAUCACAAACUCAGACUAAUUUACAGGAACCAUAAGGAUGUUAACAAACUGAAAGGUUUUAACAAGCAAACGAAAGAUGAUAACAUAGAUCUCAGGAAUAAACAGUAAACUGUGUUGCAAGUCAUCAGUCAGUGGUUACAAAGUACUUAAUUAAAUGGUGCAAAAACAAACUGUUACAUGACUUCGCAGUCAGUCACAAGGGAAAAGGGUCUGACUCAUGGGGAUAUAUUUUAUAUUAAGAUACACUUUUAUUUCAAGAGUCACAUUUGGAGGAGGAAAUUGAGACAGCAUUUCCAUAUCACCUAAAUUGUAAACCAUUACAGGUGUCUUAGCAGAAGAGUGAUACACAAAUGCAAUUAAAAAGGUACAUGCCUUUCCUCCAAGCCCACCUAAUAGCGGCAUGGAACUAGUAAGUUGGGAAAACAGCGCUGGAAUUACAUAUUCCAUCUCCAAUAAAGGCUCCACUUCAAACAAGAUCCCUUGAGGAAGGGAGACAGGAUUACGUGUCACACCUACUUCAUCCCUUUGUCAGUUUUCUUUGCCCGGCAAUAAAAUUAGUAAUGGUCUGUAUAUACUUGUUGCAAAUCAUAAAUUUGUCAAAGAUCUCAUAUUCAAAUCAGGGAUACCCAGUAGGCACCAGACAUAUUCCCCCCCCCCCCCCACCUUCAUUUUAAAA